GACGAACGCUGGCGGCGUGCCUAAUACAUGCAAGUAGAACGCUGAAGGAGGAGCUUGCUUCUCUGGAUGAGUUGCGAACGGGUGAGUAACGCGUAGGUAACCUGCCUGGUAGCGGGGGAUAACUAUUGGAAACGAUAGCUAAUACCGCAUAAGAGUAGAUGUUGCAUGACAUUUGCUUAAAAGGUGCAAUUGCAUCACUACCAGAUGGACCUGCGUUGUAUUAGCUAGUUGGUGGGGUAACGGCUCACCAAGGCGACGAUACAUAGCCGACCUGAGAGGGUGAUCGGCCACACUGGGACUGAGACACGGCCCAGACGCCUACGGGAGGCAGCAGUAGGGAAUCGUCGGCAAUGGACGGAAGUCUGACCGAGCAACGCCGCGUGAGUGAAGAAGGUUUUCGGAUCGUAAAGCUCUGUUGUAAGAGAAGAACGAGUGUGAGAGUGGAAAGUUCACACUGUGACGGUAUCUUACCAGAAAGGGACGGCUAACUACGUG
rnacentral:rRNA from 1 species